rnacentral:tRNA from 1 species
GGGGAUGCAGCUCUGUGGUAGAGCGCUUGCCUGCAUGCGUGAGGUCCUGGGUUCAAUCCCCGGCAUCACCA